rnacentral:rRNA from 1 species
GGGGAAUAUUGGACAAUGGGCGCAAGCCUGAUCCAGCCAUGCCGCGUGGGUGAAGAAGGCCUUCGGGUUGUAAAGCCCUUUAGGUUGGGAAGAAAAAACUUCUCCUAAUACGAGAAGCGUUGACGGUACCAACAGAAUAAGCACCGGCUAACUCUGUGCCAGCAGCCGCGGUAAUACAGAGGGUGCAAGCGUUAAUCGGAUUUACUGGGCGUAAAGCGUGCGUAGGUGGUUUCGUAAGUCGGAUGUGAAAGCCCCGGGCUCAACCUGGGAACUGCAUUCGAUACUGCGAGACUCGAGUUUGGUAGAGGGUGGCGGAAUUCCCGGUGUAGCGGUGAAAUGCGUAGAUAUCGGGAGGAACAUCAAUGGCGAAGGCAGUCACCUGGGCCUGAACUGACACUGAGGCACGAAAGCGUGGGUAGCAAACA